CCUACGGGAGGCAGCAGUGGGGAAUAUUGCACAAUGGGCGAAAGCCUGAUGCAGCAACGCCGCGUGAGCGAUGAAGGCCUUCGGGUCGUAAAGCUCUGUCCUCAAGGAAGAUAAUGACGGUACUUGAGGAGGAAGCCCCGGCUAACUACGUGCCAGCAGCCGCGGUAAUACGUAGGGGGCUAGCGUUAUCCGGAAGUCCUGGGCGUCAAGGGUGCGUAGGUGGUUUCUUAAGGCAGAGGGGAAAGGCUACGGAGCAACCGUAGUAAGCCUUUGAAACUGGGGAACUUGAGGGCAGGAGAGGAGAGUGGAAUUCCUAGUGUAGCGGUGAAAUGCGUAGAUAUACGGAGGAACACCAGUGGCGAAGGCGGAUUGCUGGACAGUAACUGACGCUGAGGCGCGAAAGCGUGGGGAGCAAACAGGAUUAGAUACCCCAGUAGUC
rnacentral:rRNA from 1 species